CCUACGGGAGGCAGCAGUGGGGAAUAUUGCACAAUGGGGGAAACCCUGAUGCAGCGACGCCGCGUGAGCGAAGAAGUAUUUCUGUAUGUAAAGCUCUAUCAGCAGGGAAGAAAAUGACGGUACCUGAGUAAGACUCUCCGGCUAAUUCCGUGCAAGCCGCCGCGGUCAGACGGAUGGAGCAAGCGUUAUCCGGAUUUACUGGGUGUAACGGGGGCGCAGGCGGCCUUGCAAGUCUGAUGUGAAAUACCGGGGCUCAACCCCGGGGCUGUAGUGGAAACUGUGAGGCUGGAGUGUCGGAGAGGCAGGCGGAAUGCCUAGUGUAGCGGUGAAAUGCGUAGAGAUUAGGAGGAACACCAGUGGCGAAGGCGGCCUGCUGGACGAUGACUGACGCUGAGGCUCGAAAGCGUGGGGAGCAAACAGGAUUAGAUACCCGGGUAGUC
rnacentral:rRNA from 1 species